rnacentral:tRNA from 1 species
GGGCCCGUAGCUCAGUUGGUAGAGCAGCUGACUCAUAAUCAGUUGGUCCCGGGUUCAAGUCCUGGCGGGCCCA